rnacentral:rRNA from 1 species
UACGUAGGCAGCGAGCGUUGUUCGGAGUUACUGGGCGUAAAGGGUGUGUAGGCGGUUGUUUAAGUUUGGUGUGAAAUCUCCCGGCUCAACUGGGAGGGUGCGCCGAAUACUGAAUGACUUCGAGUGCGGGAGAGGAAAGUGGAAUUCCUGGUGUAGCGGUGAAAUGCGUAGAUAUCAGGAGGAACACCGGUGGUGUAGACGGCUUCUGGACCGUAACUGACGCUGAGACACGAAAGCGUGGGUAGCAAACAGG